rnacentral:rRNA from 1 species
UAAAAAGUUCAUUGUGCAAUUCAAUGUGAUUUGAUUUUUAAUUAUAUGUUUAUUUUUUUAUUUUAAUGGAAUUAGUCUUUGUUUUAUUAUUGAUAUCGAAAAAAGAUUUUUUAAUUAUAGUUUAUUAGUAAAGUGGUUGAAGUUUGAAAUAUAUUUUAUUUUUUAAAAGGGAAAAUUUACUUUUUGUACCUUGUGUAUCAGGGUUUAUUAAAUAUAGGUUAAUUAUUUAAUUUUCUCGAUUUGGAAAGAUUUAAUUUGAUAUUUAUUUAAUUGUUAAAUAAUUUUUUUUAAUAUCUUAUUGGAAAUGAAACGUUAGUCGUUUUCUAAUAUAUCUAGUUUUUCAAGAAAAGGAUUUAAUUCUUUGUUUAUAUUUUUAUCUCUUUUUUUGGAGGGUUUAUAAUUUAAAUUAAAAUAUUUAAUGGGAUGAGCUUUUAAAUAUAUUAUUAAAAAUUUUUGACCGGUUUGUUAUUGGUUUGAUUAGAAUUGUCAUUCAUUGAAAUAAUUUUAUAGUUAUUAUUGGGUUUGGUUUGAUUUUUAUUAUUUUUAAGUUUUUUAUUGAAAUGUAAGUCUUAAUUUUUAUUGUUUAGUAAUUAUGAUAAAAUUAGUAAAAUUUAAAUUGUUAAAAUAUUUUGUUUUUGUUAGGUUUAUUAAAGGAAUUCGGCAAAUAUAUUUUUCGCCUGUUUAUUAAAAACAUGUCCUUUUGAUUAUAAUUUAAGGUCUGAUCUGCUCAAUGAGGAUUUAAAUUGCCGCGGUAUCUUGACCGUGCAAAGGUAGCAUAAUAAUUAGUUUUUUUAUUGAAAGCUGGAAUGAAUGAUUGGACGAGAAAAUUUCUGUCUCUGGUAAAUUUAUUUUUAAACUUUACUUUUAAGUUAAAAGGCUUAGAUGUUUUUUAAAGACGAGAAGACCCCAUAGAGUUUUACAUUCUUUUUUAUAAGCAGUUUUUGGUUAUUAAAUUUUUUUAUUAUUUUAGGAUGUUUGGUUGGGGUGACUUAAAGAUUUAAUUAACUCUUUAAAUAGUUAAUCAUUGAUUAGUGAAUAUGAAAUCUGAUUUUUUCAAAUUUAAAACAAAUUACCUUGGGGAUAACAGCGUAAUUUCUUUUUAGAGUUCUUAUUGAAAGGGAAGUUUGCGACCUCGAUGUUGGAUUAAAAUUAAUUUUUGGUGCAGAAGCUUGAAAAUUGGGUCUGUUCGACCUUUAAAAUUUUACAUGAUCUGAGUUUAAACCGGUGUGAGCCAGGUUGGUUUCUAUCUUGAUUUAUAUAUAAUUUUUUAGUACGAAAGGACCAGGAAUUGAAUAUAUUUAUUUUUUUUGUGAAUAAUAUUGUUACUUUGGCAGAUUAGUGCAAUUGAUUUAGAAUCUUUAAAUGUAAGUUU